rnacentral:tRNA from 2 species
GGCUCGGUAGCUUAGUUGGUAAAGCGCUCGUCUAGCAUACAAGAGUCCUGGGUUCGAACCCCAGCCGAGCAC